rnacentral:tRNA from 1 species
GAUUCUGUAGCUCAAUUGGAUAGAGCGUCUCCCUCCGAAGGAGAAGGUUGUGGGUUCAACUCCCGCCAGGAUCACCA